GUCGUAGGCUGGAUUAGUGCCUGGCUGCGAUCGUAUUUAAUAUCCUGGAGGAUACUAUGUCACUAACUACUGCUGAAAAAGCAAAAAUCCUGGCCGAUUUCGGUGCAAACGCU
rfam:Rheinheimera sp. F8 genome.